UAUUUAUGUGCUUUGCAGGUUUGAGUUGCCACUUAUUUUAAGUCAGAUGCGCGUAGCGGUGGAAACACACCGGACUAAGCAUGGAUAGCUUUGUUACGAGGCUAACCCACGAUCGGUUGGAGUAGAGGGAGUACUCCGCAGGGUUCCUGAUUCAGAAUCAGAGCUAAAAGAGGUGAGAAGAUGCUCCUACAUCAUAUGAAGCUGACACAGAUGAUGACUUGUGAAGAAAUCCGUGAUGAUAUAAUCUUUUAUCCAAGUUCGCAGCAAUAAAUAAACAGUUGCUGACGAUGCCGACUGAGAAGAAGUCGAUGUGUUAAAAAAGAAACCGAGAAGAGGUCCAAAGAUUAGA